AUUGAACGCUGGCUGCAGGCCUAACACAUGCAAGUCGAACGAGUGGCGGACGGGUGAGUAACGUCUGGGAAACUGCCCGAUGGAGGGGGAUAACUACUGGAAACGGUCGCUAAUACCGCAUACCAUCGGAUGUGCCCAGAUGGGAUUAGCUAGUAGGUGGGGUAACGGCUCACCUAGGCGACGAUCCCUAGCUGGUCUGAGAGGAUGACCAGACACAAGGGAACUGAGACACGGUCCAGACUCCUACGGGAGGCAGCAGUGGGGAAUAUUGCACAAUGGGCGAAAGCCUGAUGCAGCCAUGCCGCGUGUAUGAAGAAGGCCUUCGGGUUGGAAAGUACUUUCAGCGGGGAGGCGUUACCCGCAGAAGAAGCACCGGCUAACUCCGUGCCAGCCGCCGCGGUAAUUC
rnacentral:rRNA from 1 species